AUUGAACGCUGGCGGCAGGCCUAACACAUGCAAGUCGAGCGGAUGAAGAGAGCUUGCUCUCUGAUUUAGCGGCGGACGGGUGAGUAAUGCCUAGGAAUCUGCCUGGUAGUGGGGGAUAACGUUCCGAAAGGAACGCUAAUACCGCGUACGUCCUACGGGAGAAAGCAGGGGACCUUCGGGCCUUGCGCUAUCAGAUGAGCCUAGGUCGGAUUAGCUAGUUGGUGAGGUAAUGGCUCACCAAGGCGACGAUCCGUAACUGGUCUGAGAGGAUGAUCAGUCACACUGGAACUGAGACACGGUCCAGACUCCUACGGGAGGCAGCAGUGGGGAAUACUGGACAAUGGGCGAAAGCCUGAUCCAGCCAUGCCGCGUGUGUGAAGAAGGUCUUCGGAUUGUAAAGCACUUUAAGUUGGGAGGAAGGGCAGUAAGCGAAUACCUUGCUGUUUUGACGUUACCGACAGAAUAAGCACCGGCUAACUCUGUGCCAGCCGCCGCGGUAAGAC
rnacentral:rRNA from 1 species